rnacentral:tRNA from 2 species
GUUGGAGUGGCAGAGCCCGGUAAUUGCAAAAGACCUAAGCUCUUUCCACAGAGGUUCAAGUCCUCUCCUCAACU